rnacentral:piRNA from 1 species
UCGGGAUNUGUGCUUAUCUCUUGGAUUGC